rnacentral:piRNA from 1 species
CCCAAAGCCCAUGAGUCGGUCACCAUGUC